rnacentral:lncRNA from 1 species
AGAAAAACAGGCGGCGUAGCAGGUGGGCAGCACGUUGCCAUGAUGUGCCGUGGCCCGGCCGUGGCUGGCGUGAUCCCACCAGAGUGAGCUGGAGCAGAUCUGCACCAUGGGCCAAGUUUCUCAGAAAAUACAUGGCUUCCUGCGGGCUGCAGCCUAAUGCCCACGUUCCUCUCGGGGCAGACCGAAGGUUAUUCAACCAGGGCAAAGGACAGCCUUGCAAACCAACUACGUCCUCCUUCUGGAGUUUGUGUGACCCCUGGCCCCUGAGCCCACACCCUCUCGGAGCGGGGUUCCAACUCCGUGGAAGCUCUGCUGAGAUGCAGGUCCCUCCCUCGACACCUGGGGAUUACAAUUAGAGAUGCGAUUUGGAUGGGGACACCGAGAGAAACCAUGACAGGGGCUCUCCAGAGAAGCAGCCCAGCCUUGGGCAACUUAGUUCUCCCAUCUGACCAUCCAACCCAAUAAGGCUGCUGACUCACAUAGGACCAGGUUUCAGAUAUUCUCCACUAACUAGGAAGAUGAUUUUGCUUUCAGACCACACAGACACUCAUCGCCCCUCUUGCCACCCAUCCUUUAAAUUUGAUUGUUUUUUCCUUCUGGGGUUCAAUCAAUAUUCAUUGUUUACAUUGUUUUAAUUAUGCAAAUAUCACUACUUGAGGCAUACCACAUACUCUAAUUACAUUUCUGUUAGUUUUCCUUUAACUGAAAACGUCUUAAUUUCACCUUCAUUCUUGAAUGAUAUAUUUGGUGGAUAUAGAAUUUUGAGCUGACAGUUCUUUUCUUUCAACCCCUAAUGAUGUUCUACUGGCCUCUAUGAUUUCUGAUGAGAAGUCCAAGUCAUUCAAAUCCUUGUCUGCCUUAAAUUUGUUGUUUUCUCUGUUUUCAAGAUUUUCUCAGUUUGCUUUUUUUUUUUUUUUUUUUGAGACAGAGUCUCGCUCUGUCACCCAGGCUGGAAUGCAGUGCUGAGAUCUUGGCUCACUGCAACCUCUGCCUCUUGGGCUCAAGCAAUUCUCUGGCCUCAGCCUCCCUAGUAGCUAGGAUUACAGGCACCUGCCACCAUGCCUGGCUAAGUUUUGUAUUUUUAGUAGAGACAGGGUUUCACCAUCUUGGCCAGGAUGGUCUUGAACUCCUGACCUCAGGUGAUCCACCAGCCUCGGUCUCCCAAAGUGCUGGGAUUACAGGUGUGAGCCACUGCGCCCAGACUAUUUUGCAUUUUUAAUAGUUUGAUCAUGAGGUGCUUAGGCAUAGUUCUCUUCAAAUUUAUUUUGUUUGGGGCUUAUUGAGUAUAUUUAUUUAUUUAUGAGAUGGAGUCUCACUCUGUCACCCAGGCUGGAGUACAGUGGCAUGAUCUCGGCUCACUUGCAACCUCCACCUCCUGGGUUCAAGCAAUUCUCGUGCCUUGGCCUCCCAAGUAGCUGGGACUACAGGCAUGCACCACCAUUUUUUUGUGGCUAAUUUUUGUAUUCUUAGUAGAGAUGGGGUUUCACCAUGUUGACCAGGCUGGUCUUGAACUCCUGAUCUCAAGUGACCUGCCUGCCUCGGCCUCUCAAAGUGCUGGGAUUACAGGCGUGAGCCACUGCGUCUGACCUUAUUGAGCUUUAAUCUGUAAACUUAUUUACUAAAGUUGGGAUGUUUUCAGUUAUUAUUUCUUUAAAUAUUUUUCUUCCAUGUUGUCUUUCCUAUCAAUUUUUUUCUGUCCUUCAGAUUUCAUUAUUUCUAUUAUCCAACUUCAUCUUCACUCACUCUUUUGUUGGUUUUUAAAAAAUUUUUUUUUCUAUUUUUUUCUUUUUUCACUGACUUUUCUUUUUCAAUUCUGUUUUACUAGUAAGCUCAUUGCUCUGGUUUUAAUGUGUCCCCCAAAAUUCAUGCAUUGAUACUUAAUGGACAAUGUGAUGGUAUUAAGAAUUGGGGCCUUUAGUAGGCAAUUAAGUCAUAAGGUUGGAGCCCUCAUGGAUGGGGUUAGGGUCCUUAAUAAAAGAUCUUGCAGGAGUGGGCUCAUUCUCUUCUGCUCUUCCACCACGUGAGGACAUAGCAUUCAUUCCUUCUGGAGGAUACAGCAAAAAGAUACCAUCUCAGAAACAGAGAGCAGCCCAUAGCAGACACCAAACCUGCCUUGAUCUUGGACUUCCCAGUCUUCAGAACUGUGCAGUGAAAGCGAAGGAACGCUGCUGGACAUGGUGAGACAUGGAGGACUUUGUAAGGGAUAACCUUUGGUUCCCUGAUUUUUUGACAUGAAUCUAACGCUCUGCACCUUCCUCCUUCUUCUUGACAGUGACAUUCAUAAAGGCCAGAAGCUCGGUGUUUUUGUUUCUGUUGUCUGUAUUCUGUAUUCUGUUCCACUAGUCCAUCUGUCCAUCCUUGUACCAAUACUUCACUGUCUUCACAUUACAGUAACUUUUUAGUCUUGGUUCCUGGUAGGAUAAGUCGGAGGUUUGUUGUUCUUCAAGAUCACCUUGGAUAUUCUAGGUCCUUUACAUUUCCAUAUAACAUUUUAGAAACAGCUUGCCAUUUUUCCACCCACAAAAACCAUGCUGGGAUUUGGUUGAGAUGACUUUGACACCACACAUCAGUUUGGGAAGAACCAACAACUUUAUAAUACUGAGUCUUCCAAUGCAUAUACAUAGUAUAUCCCUCCAUUUAGUUACAUUUUGUUAGACUUAUUUCUAAGUAUUUGAUGCUUUUUGAUGCUAUCAUAAAUUAUAUUGUUUUGGCAAUUUCAUUUUCUAUUUGUAGCUGUUAGGUAUAAAUACAGUUUAUUUUUCUGUGUUCACCUGAUACUCAGUGACCUUGCUAAACUAACUUAUUAAUUCUAAUGGUUUAUACAUUUAAAAAUUUACUGUAUAUUCCAUCAAGUUGUCUGGAAAUAAUAAAAGUUUUAUUUCUUCCUUUCCAAUCUAUGCUUUGGUUUGUUUUUUGAGACCGGUCUCAUACUGUCGCUCAGGCUGGAGUGCAGUGUCAGAUCUCCGCUCACCACAACCUCCACCUCCUGGGCUCAAGCGAUCCUCCUGCCUCAGCCUCCUGAGCAGCGGGGACUCCAGGAGUAUGCCACCAAACCCGGCUAAUUUUCGUAUCUCUUUUGGUACAGACAGGGUUUCACCAUGUUGCCCAGGCUGAUGUUGAACUCCUGGGCUCAAGCAAUCUGCUUGCCUAGGCCUCCCAAAGUGCAAGGAUUACAGGCAUGAGCCGCCACGCCCAGCCAAAAAAAAAAAAUUUUUUUUUUAAAGCUUUUCUCAAGUGGUUUUUGUUGUUGUUGUUGUUUGUUUUAGACAGGGCCUCACUCUGUCACCCAGACUGGAGUGCAGUAGCAUGAUCACAGAUCACCCCAGGCUCAGGUGAUCCUCUUACCUGAGUCUCCCAAGUAGCUUGGACUACAGGGAUGCACCACCACACCUGGCUAAUUUUUGUAUUUUUGGUAAAGAUGAGGUUUCACCAUAUUGCUCAGGCUGUGGAGUUCACGGAACAUUGUAGCCUCAACCUCCAGGGCUCCAGCGAUCCUCCCACCUCAGCUUCCUGAGUAGCUGGGACUACAGGCGCAAACCACCACGCCCAAUUAAAAAAGUUUUUUUUUUGUAGAGAUUGGGGGUGGGUCUUGCUAUGCUGCCCAGGCUGGUGUUUCAUUUUAAAAAAUCCAAUCUGACUUUUAUUUGAGGUAUUAGUCUGUUCUUGCAUUGCUAUAAGGAACUACCUGAGACUGGGUAAUUUAUGAAGAAAAGAGGUUUAAUUGACUCACAGUUCUGCAGGCUGUACAGGAAGUGUGGCUGCGGAAGCCUCAGGAAACUUACAAUCAUGGGGGAAGGCGAAAGGGAAGCAGGGAAAUCUUCCAUGGCAGAGCAGGAGAUAGAGAAGGGAGAAGAGUUACAUGCUUUUAAGCAACCAAGUUUUGUGAGAACUCACUAUCAAGAGGACAGCAAGGGGGAAGUCCGCCCUCAUGAUCCAAUCACCUCCCCCCUGGCCUCUCCUCCAAUAAUGGGGAACACAACUCGACAUGAGAUUUGGGUGGAGAUACAGAGCCAAACCAUAUAAAGGCGUUUAGACCAUUUACAGUACAGUUGUUGACAUGGUUUGGUCUAUGUCUUUCUGAUGGAUUGACUCCUUUAUAUUAUUAAGUAUACAUCUUUAAUAAUGUUUUCUGGUCUUAAAGUCUACUUUGUCUGAUAUAGUAUAGCUACAUAAACUGAUAUCUUUAUUUUUAUUUAUUUAUUUUUAUUCAAACAGAGUUUCACUCUGUCUCCCAGGCUGGAGUGCAGUGGCAUGAUCUCGGCUCACUGCAACUUCCGCCUCCUGGGUUCAAGCGACUCUACUGCCUCAGCCUCCUGAGUAGCUGGG